rnacentral:rRNA from 1 species
GGUUAAGCGACUAAGCGUACACGGUGGAUGCCUAGGCAAUCAGAGGCGAUGAAGGACGUGCUAAUCUGCGAAAAGCGUCGGUAAGGUGAUAUGAACCGUUAUAACCGACGAUGUCCGAAUGGGGAAACCCAGUGCAAUCCGUUGCACUAUCGUUUGAUGAAUACAUAGUCAAACGAGGCGAACCGAGGGAACUGAAACAUCUCAGUACCUCGAGGAAAAGAAAUCAACCGAGAUUCCCCUAGUAGCGGCGAGCGAACGGGGAGCAGCCCAGAGUCUUAAUCAGCAUUAGCAUCAGGAGAACGGUCUGGAAAGGCCGGCAGUAAAGGGUGAUAGCCCCGUAUCCGAAGGUGUUGGUGUUGUGAACUCGACGAGUAGGGCGGGACACGUGUUAUCCUGUCUGAAUAUGGGGGGACCAUCCUCCAAGGCUAAAUACUCCUGAUUGACCGAUAGUGAACCAGUACCGUGAGGGAAAGGCGAAAAGAACCCCGGCGAGGGGAGUGAAAUAGAACCUGAAACCGUGUACGUACAAGCAGUGGGAGCCCCAUCACUCAAAUGCCUCGGCAAGUGAGUGAGGGUUUAAACAACCACCACAAGAACAGCGCAGCAUUUGCCAACAAGAUUGGCUGAUUUUUUCAAGCCGUCGCGCAGUGGACAUUUAAGUCCAUGAGCAACGGAAGUUAAAAAAUCGGGCAAGGUUGACAGCAAAGGCAAGCGGGACAUUUGAGGAU